AGUGAACGCUGGCGGUAGGCCUAACACAUGCAAGUCGAACGGCAGCACAGUAAGAGCUUGCUCUUACGGGUGGCGAGUGGCGGACGGGUGAGGAAUACAUCGGAAUCUACUUUUUCGUGGGGGAUAACGUAGGGAAACUUACGCUAAUACCGCAUACGACCUACGGGUGAAAGCAGGGGACCUUCGGACCUCGCGCGAUUGAAUGAGCCGAUGUCGGAUUAGCUAGUUGGCGGGGUAAAGGCCCACCAAGGCGACGAUCCGUAGCUGGUCUGAGAGGAUGAUCAGCCACACUGGAACUGAGACACGGUCCAGACUCCUACGGGAGGCAGCAGUGGGGAAUAUUGGACAAUGGGCGCAAGCCUGAUCCAGCCAUACCGCGUGGGUGAAGAAGGCCUUCGGGUUGUAAAGCCCUUUUGUUGGGAAAGAAAAGCAGCAGGUUAAUACCCCGCUGUUCUGACGGUACCCAAAGAAUAAGCACCGGCUAACUUCGUG
rnacentral:rRNA from 1 species